CAAAGGCUUGGUCCUAGCUUUUCUAUCAUCUCUAGCCCAGAUUACACAUGCAAGUCUCCGCUCCCCCGUGAGGAUGCCCUGCAGUUCCCCUACCCGGGAACAAGGAGCUGGUAUCAGGCACAGCCUAAUAAAGCUACCGCCCACGACACCUUGCUAAGCCACACCCCCAAGGGAUUUCAGCAGUGAUUAACCUUAAGCCAUAAGUGAAAACUUGACUUAGCCACGGCUAAUAGGGCCGGUAAAUCUCGUGCCAGCCACCGCGGUUAUACGAAAGACCCAAGCUGAUAGACGCCGGCGUAAAGAGUGGUUAAGUAUCUUGAUAAAACUAAAGCCGAACGCCCUCAAGACCGUUAUACGUUUCCGAAGGUAUGAAGCCCAACUACGAAAGUAACUUUAACUAUAUCUGAUUCCACGAAAGCUGCGAAACA
rnacentral:rRNA from 1 species